AUUUUUUUAAUUAAAAUUUAUAGGCCUAUUUUCCAAGGAAGGAAUUAAUUUUUUUUUGCACUAUGCCUGGGAAGAUUUUUUUCCUUAAUUUUUUUUCUGGGAAUAAUUUUUUUUUUGGUCCCCCCCCCAUCACUUUUCUAAUGGUCCGUCCCUAACUAGGUUUCUAAAUGUUUUUUCGACCGGCGUUUAUCAAUCAAAACUUUGACAGUCAUAACUUCGCAGGGCGUGGUGGUGGUACUGUAUCAACUAAAUUGUUUUGCACGCGAAACUUUCAUGUUUAUAUUUCGCAUGGGCAUGUUCAUACUUUAUCGCGAGAAAAUUGCUAUAGAAAGCGAAAUGUCAGAUUUAUAGCACGGGAUUUGUUUAUUUUCCAGAUUAGAAGUGUUCUUUUGCGUUUUGACGCUAAAACUCGUGCAAAACAACGACAGCUUGAUAGAACACCCAAAAAAAUUAGAACAUAAAAACAAAAAGUUUGUUUGACAAACUCCGCGGAAGAAACGUUUUGAAACUAGUACUCGGCAUAUGGAUUUAAGGACAAGAAAAUGAACAGAACUAUAGCGUGAUUUAUUGUAGGCUACGACGUUGUGCAGUACUCACCUUCCAUACUUGGGAUAGGAGAUAUUUAAAGAUAUGUGUAUAUACUCUGACUCUGUAAGAGAAGAAACGUAAGAUGUAAAUAAUUUGAAAGAAUAUACAUGCCCCCAGAAAAUAAAAUACAAAUACACAUAUGCGGACGUUUUUGCUGAGGGUGUUUAUAUUAUUAUGGCGUC